CAUUUAUCCCAGGGAUCUGCAUCCGUCUUUCAGGACACAGCGUUUCAUGGUAUGCUGACCCAACAGUCACACAGCUCAGCUAGGGCAGACGGUGGGCCUUAAAGUGUCACAAUCUCCAUCACGGGGGCUUGAGAUGAGCCGGACAGCAGCGGAAAGAAAUGACUUCUGCUUAUUUAGCAUUUCAAUUUGGGAAAUGAGGAAUACUUAAUAGGUGGGUGAAUCUGAUUCUAAGAAACAGCCAUCCCUGGACUUCAGCAGCACCACGCAGCACACUGUGGUCUCUUCGCCCAGCCUGCUGCCAAGCUGAGGAGGACCCACAAGCACGCACGGGCCUGGGCGGGGUGAGCCGCCGUGCUCAGCCGGACAGACUGCCACCAACUGCCCCGCACUGCUAAGGAGCCGGCGCAGAGCUCGCAAAGGGGUCUGUGUGUGCACAACGGAUGGCUGGCAGAUUCGUCUCCUCCACACCCUCACAUCUUCACUGGGAAACUGCUGUCAGAAGGCAAGUUCUGCCAGUAGCAGGCUUGAAAUCCCAGGCACCCAGGAGAGUGCCCGGCCCUAGCAGGACCCUGGCUAAGAUUUGCGGAAUGGAGGAAAUCAGCGGGGGAGCCGCUGGGAAAAGGAUGGGACUACCUGAUGCAAUGUACAUAUGUAUUCAUAUGUAAUAGAUACUCUGUACCUAGUAAUUACACUUAUUUAAUAUACAUGAAAAACCAUGUACAUGAAAAUAACUUUGUAAAUUGUAAAAUGAUUUUAAAUAAUGAAAGAACUGUAAGGAUAAUCUGCAAAUAUGCACAGGCUCAACAGCUUCAUCCUUCCAUUAAGCCUAUUGGCUCAACUACAAAGACCUCACCCAACCGGCCCUGUCCCCGGGCCAUGGAAUAGGGUGGUUAUGGGCAGGGGCUCAGGAGCGAGACUACCUGUACAGACACACCUUGGAGAUACGGCAGGUUCGCUUCCAGACCACCACAAUAAAGCAAAUAUCGCAAUAAAGC